CCCUUAGAUGUUCUGGGCCGCACGCGCGCUACACUGACGAAUGCAACGAGCUUAUAACCUUGGCCGAGAGGCCUGGGCAAUCUUGUUAACGUGCAUCGUGAUAGGGAUAGAUUAUUGAAAUUAUUAAUCUUGAACGAGGAAUUCCUAGUAAACGCAGAUCAUCAAUCUGCAUUGAUUACGUCCCUGCCCUUUGUACGCACCGCCCGUCGCACCUACCGAUUGGAUGGUCCGGUGAAGCCUCGGGAUUGUGGUUCUUGCCGCUUUAUUGUGGCGUGACCGCGAGAACUUGUCUAAACCUUAUCAUCUAGAGGAAGGUGAAGUCGUAACA
rnacentral:rRNA from 1 species